UGCGUAGGCGGUUUGUUAAGUCAUUUGUAAAAGAUCUCAGCUCAACUGAGUAAGGCGAAUGAAACUGGCAGACUUGAAUACGGUAGAGGUAAGUGGAAUUCCAUGUGUAGCGGUGGAAUGCGUAGAUAUAUGGAGGAACACCAAUGGCGAAGGCAACUUACUGGGCCGGAAUUGACGCUGGGGCACGAAAGCGUGGGGAGCAAACAGGAUUAGAUACCCUGGUAGUCC
rnacentral:rRNA from 1 species